rnacentral:lncRNA from 8 species
GACAGUGUGGUGGAACAUUCUAAUUCUAUAGAUGGAACACAUUCUAAUUCUAUAGGUGGAACACAUUCUAAUUCUAUAGACGGAACACAUUCUAAUUCUAUAGGUGCAACACAUUCUAGUUCUAUAGGUGCAACACAUUCUAAUUCUAUAGGUGCAACACAUUCUAAUUCUAUAGGUGCAACACAUUCUAAAUCUAUAGGUGCAACACAUUCUAAUUAUAUAGGUGCAACACAUUCUAAUUCUAUAGGUGCAACACAUUCUAAUUCUAUAGGUGGAACACAUUCUAAUUCUAUAGGUGCAACACAUUCUAAUUAUAUAGGUGGAACACAUUCUAAUUCUAUAGGUGCAACACAUUCUAAUUCUAUAGGUGGAACACAUUCUAAUCCUAUAGGUGGAACACUUUCUAAUUCUAUAUGUGCAACACAUUCUAAUUCUAUAGGUGGAACACAUUCUAAUUCUAUAGGUGGAACACAUUCUAAUUCUAUAGGUGGAACACAUUCUAAUUCUAUAGGUGGAACACAUUCUAAUUUUAUAGGUGUAACACAUUCUAGUUCUAUAGGUGCAACACAUUCUAAAUCUAUAGAUGGAACACAUAAUUCUAUAGGUGCAACACAUUAUAAUUCUAUAGGUGCAACACAUUCUAAUUCUAUAGGUGGAACACAUUCUAAUUCUAUAGGUGCAACACAUUCUAAUUCUAUAGGUGCAACACAUUCUAGUUCUAUAGGUGGAACACAUUAUAAUUCUAUAGGUGGAACACAUUCUAAUUCUAUAGGUGCAACACAUUCUAAUUCUAUAGGUGCAACACAUUCUAGUUCUAUAGGUGGAACACAUUAUAAUUCUAUAGGUGCAACACAUUAUAAUUCUAUAGGUGCAACACAUUCUAAUUAUAUAGGUGCAACACAUUCUAAUUAUAUAGGUGCAACACAUUCUAAUUCUAUAGGUGGAACACAUUCUAAUUAUAUAGGUGCAACACAUUCUAAUUCUAUAGGUGCAACACAUUCUAAUUCUAUAGAUGGAACACAUUCUAAUUCUAUAGAUGCAACACUUUCUAAUUCUAUAGGUGGAACACAUUCUAAUUCUAUAGGUGGAACACUUUCUAAUUCUAUAGGUGGAACACAUUCUAAUUCUAUAGGUGCAACACAUUCUAAUUCUAUAGGUUGA